rnacentral:lncRNA from 1 species
UUAAAGAAAUGGAGAAUCGCUGUGCUGCAGCUGAAGAGAGGAAUGUGGAGCUAGAACAGCAAAUAAAUCUGGUGGAACUGAAGAGCAAUGAUACGAAGAGGGAACUAGAAGAGUUCUCAGAGAAAGUUUCUGAACUAAGUGCCACCCUUGAGAAGACCCUGGAAGAAAGAAAACAGCUGGAUACCAGAUUGCAGGAGUAUGAGGAGAAGAUAGCUCAUUUGGAUUCUGAGUUGGUCAAAUCAACUGCUCGUAAUUUAGAACUUGAAGCUGAGCUUAAAAGUGUUGCUGACAAGUGUGCUGAGCAUGAAGGUCGGGCCAACACCACUGAUCAACGCAGCCGUGAAUUAGAGGAUUUGAUGCUGGUAUCUCACUCGAAAGUAGAGGAAUCUGGCAAAAAGGUGAGUGAUUUGGAGCAAUUGCUUGAAACAGAGAAGCAUAGGAUUCAGGAGCUUGAAGAACAAAUAAGCACAUUAGAGAAGAAAGGUGUGGCGGCAGAAGCAGAAUCCAAGAAGCAUUCUGACAGGGCAUCUGAGCUUGAAGCAGAAGUAGAGACAUUCCAAGCAAAAUUAUCAAGCCUUGAGGCUGCCCUUAAAGAGACCAAGGAGAAGGAGAGUGAAUUGAGUCAAUCCCUAAGCAAUGUGACUGAAGAGAAGAGAAACUUAGAGGAUGUCUACAAGAGGGAACAAGACGAGUUCUCCGGGAAAGUUUCUGAAGUACAGGCCAACCUUGAGAAGACCCUGGAAGAAAGGAAACAGCUGGAUACUAGGUUGCAGGAGUACGAGGAGAAGAUAGCUCAUUUGGAUUCUGAGUUGGUCAAAUCAAGUGCUCGUAAUUUAGAACUUGAAGCAGAGCUUAGAAGUGUUGCUGACAAGUG